GUGAGGAAUAUUGGUCAAUGGACGGAAGUCUGAACCAGCCAAGUAGCGUGCAGGAUGACGGCCCUAUGGGUUGUAAACUGCUUUUAUGCGGGGGUAAAGUGAGUGACGUGUCAUUCAUUGCAAGUACCGCAAGAAUAAGGACCGGCUAAUUCCGUGCCAGCAGCCGCGGUAAUACGGAAGGUCCUGGUGUUAUCCGGAUUUAUUGGGUUUAAAGGGAGCGUAGGCCGUCAGGCGAGCGUGUUGUGAAAUGUCGUGGCUCAACCAUGGACUUGCAGCGCGAACUGCCCGACUUGAGUGCGCGGAAAGCAGGCGGAAUUUGUGGUGUAGCGGUGAAAUGCUUAGAUAUCACGAAGAACCCCGAUUGCGAAGGCAGCCUGCUGUAGCGCUACUGACGCUGAAGCUCGAAAGUGCGGGUAUCGAACAGGAUUAGAUACCCCUGUAGUCC
rnacentral:rRNA from 1 species